UACGGGAGGCAGCAGUGGGGAAUAUUGCACAAUGGGCGCAAGCCUGAUGCAGCCAUGCCGCGUGUAUGAAAAAGGCCUUCGGGUUGUAAAGUACUUUCAGUCGUGAGGAAGGUGUUAAGGUUAAUAACCUUAGCAAUUGACGUUAGCGACAGAAGAAGCACCGGCUAACUCCGUGCCAGCAGCCGCGGUAAUACGGAGGGUGCGAGCGUUAAUCGGAAUUACUGGGCGUAAAGGGCACGCAGGCGGUUAAUUAAGUUGGAUGUGAAAUCCCCGGGCUUAACCUGGGAAUGGCAUUCAAGACUGGUUAGCUAGAGUCUUGUAGAGGGGGUAGAAUUCCAUGUGUAGCGGUGAAAUGCGUAGAGAUGUGGAGGAAUACCGGUGGCGAAGGCGGCCCCGUGGACAAAGACUGACGCUCAUGUGCGAAAGCGUGGGGA
rnacentral:rRNA from 1 species